GCAUUGGUGGUUUAGUGGUGAGCAUAGCUGCCUUCAAAGCAGUCGACCCAGGUUCAAUUCCCAGCAAACACA
rnacentral:tRNA from 1 species